UGUCCUUCAGGUGUCCCUCAGAUGUUCCUGGUGUCACUCAGGUGUCACCUGGAUGUCCCAGGUGUCCCCCAGAUGUCCCCCAGGUGUCCCUGAUGUCACUCAGGUGUCACCUGGAUGUCCCAGGUGUCCUUCAGGUGUCCCUCAGGUGUCCCAGGUGUCCCCCAGGUGUCACCCCCCAAUAAAGUCCCCAGUGCUGGUGACACCGCGGUGGCUUUGUCUGGGGGAGGGGACCCCAAAAUGGGGAGAGGGGACAUUGGGGACCCCAAAAAUGGGGAGGGGACCCCAAAAAUUGGGAUUGGGACAACUUGGGGACCCCCAAAAAUGGGGAGGGGACUUUGAGGACCCCAAAAAUUGGGAUUGGGAACCCAAAAAUUUGGAUUGGGACAAUUUGGGGACCCCAAAAAUGGGGAUGAGACAUUGAAGACCCCCAAAAAUGGGGAGGGGACCCCAAAAAUUGGGAUUGGGA